CACAAAGACAUAACAAGAACGCGACAAUGGUUGACACAAAACUACCUCCAUUAUAUUUACCCUUUCAUUUUACUAAAAUCAACAUAAUUCACGAGCUCGCGAUUUAGCGAAAUUUUAAGGAUAUUGUCGAUAGUAGUGCUGCUCAAAUUGCAACGAAUAUCUUCAGCAGUAGUGUAAGGCUGAGAACGCUCUUUCUGCACUCACUUGUUAGCAGUAGCAGAUAAAAUAGUCAUUACUGCAUCAAACAUUUCAGAAACUAUUUUGCG